AAAAACACAGUGAAAAGGACAGUUUUUGUCAAAGGUUUUCCCAAAGCGAGCGGGAAAUGGUGUAAGCCCGUGGAGUCUGACAGAAAAAUCACCUUGGAGUGUAGGGCUGAAAUCUAAGUAAGUUUCUUACGGUUUGUCACCGUUAAAUGACUUCCGAGUGACUUGUUUUGGCGACAAGGGUGGUACUGCGAGCGAUCUCGUCCCUUUU
rnacentral:ncRNA from 1 species